rnacentral:rRNA from 1 species
GAUGAACGCUGGCGGCGUGCCUAAUACAUGCAAGUCGAGCGAACAGACGAGGUUCUUGCUCCUUUGACGUUAGCGGCGGACGGGUGAGUAACACGUGGGUAACCUACCUAUAAGACUGGGAUAACUUCGGGAAACCGGAGCUAAGACCGGAUAAUAUUUCGAACCGCAUGGUUCGAUAGUGAAAGAUGGCUUUGCUAUCACUUAUAGAUGGACCUGCGCCGUAUUAGCUAGUUGGUAAGGUAACGGCUUACCAAGGCAACGAUACGUAGCCGACCUGAUGGGGUGAUCGGCCACACUGGAACUGAGACACGGUCCAGACUCCUACGGGAGGCAGCAGUAGGGAAUCUUCCGCAAUGGGCGAAAGCCUGACGGAGCAACGCCGCGUGAGUGAUGAAGGUCUUCGGAUCGUAAAACUCUGUUAUUAGGGAAGAACAAACGUGUAAGUAACUGUGCACGUCUUGACGGUACCUAAUCAGAAAGCCACGGCUAACUACGUG